rnacentral:rRNA from 1 species
AUGCAAGAUUACUUCGCGGAGAAUCUAACAUAUCCACCGCACCUCUUCCGGAGAAGGUACCGAAUGCGCCGAUCCCUCUUUGUGAAAAUUGUUCAAGCUUGCGAGGCAAAUUGUCGGUAUUUUACUCAAAGAAGAAAUGCUGCGGGCUUAAAGGGAUUUAGUGCAUAUCAAAAAAUCUCCGCAGCUAUGCGGGUGAUUGCAUAUGGCGUUCCGGCUGACUAUGCCGAUGAGUACCUUCGCAUUGGUGAAGAUACCACAAUUGAGUCAGUGUGUAGAUUUGCCAAAGUGAUCAUCCGUGUCUUUAGUCCUGGGUAUCUUCUGGCUCCCAACGAGGAUGACACAAAGAAAUUGAUGGCAUCUAAUGAGAGGAGAGGUUGGCCAGGGAAUGUAUUGUGGCAAGUCUCGUGA